AUAAAACAGGAAUUGCAAUGCGCUUAUCUAUAGAAAUUGACGUAUGAUCUUGGGUACAGUUGUAUUGGUUAACGACGUAGAUCGAGAUUUAAUAACACAAUACAAACUAUAAUACAUUUUAUUUAAGGCUUAUUGUAAAACAACUAGAAGCUGACAAAUAUUCCGGUUAAUUCUUCAGUAAAUUAUCUGGUAACACUAGCGGUUUUUUUUCCCGCGGAAACUGAUAACGUGACUCUAAAUGUUGCCGCGAAAGAUGCUUCUGGGACGCCAUAUUGGUUUUUUGGUUCGUGCCGAAGGUUGAUGUCUAAUUCCCUAAUGGCCCAAUUUAAUUUAAAGGGAAAUAAAGGGAGGCGGUCCAUAAUGGACUUAGAAAUUUACAAAGUUGUCCGAGAUAGUGUAAUGAUCAGUCAGCCGAGCUGCAAUGAAGCCGAGAUAAUAACAGCAGUUUCGGCUCAUCUAAAAUAUGAGCCGGACAGAAGAGGGACCAAUUAAGUACAUGUACAGUUUAAAUUUGUUUAUUACAUGUCAUAUUUUAUUAUAAUCUUUAUAAGCCAUUUUAAGUUCUUUUAUCAUCCAUUUAAUUUUAUUUUAUUUUCUAUGUGUGAUGUCCACAAAAUGUUAACUGCGCCAUUGAGUAUUGAGUGUUUUAUAUUGGUA